ACUCGAAAGGUAAACAAAGUGCCUUCUGGGAAGAGUCCAACCGUUCGGGAGUGUUUGUAAACAAUCGAUAACGUUUGGAGCGAGUCAUGUUAGUGGUUGAUCACCAGCUUCUGUUGGAGUCCGAACGGUUGCUGGUCUUCUAAGUUGUUUUAGGGAUCCUGUUAUCGGCGAUUUAACCGUCUCGGGAAAGACGUUGACCGUUGAGGUGUGUAAGUAUUUUUAGAGAGAGUGCGCAAAAUUGUUGCGCACUCUUCGCUGAUUUUGGCUUCGUUAGUUUGUGUCAUAACAGAAGAUUCACAAAGGAUUCUUUACUCACAGCUGUAUGCUCUUCGGUGUUUCGCUUUGGAAUGUUUUCUCAAUAGACGUGAGUAAUCCAUGUCAGUUUCAAUUUGUUUACAUUAUCCUAAUGUUACCGAAUUAUUUAUUUUUUCUACUUUACAGGUAUACUCAAUCAAUAUGGAAACUUGAUGAUAAGGUGUUCAAAGAACAAAAGGAGACUCAUAAAAAUACGAUUUUAGACGAUUAAUCUGUCAAAUAAGUAGAUGUUGUAGUAAAUUUCUUUUUGUUUUCAGCAGUAAAUUUCCUUUUCACAGACAGAAAAGUAUACAAAGGGACUUUUUAAGGUCAAGCCUAACACUGAUAUGGUACAACAUGAACGUGAAGUUGGCAGCAUUUGGCACUGCUGCUAAUAGAUGAAAAUAGAUGGAGAAUUACGAUAAGGCUCAAGUUGCACCAGAUCAACUUGAAGUUCAUCAUUAUGUGUGUCAAGUAAGUACAAGUUGACUUGGAAUUCCUGAUAAAAUAUGCCAGUUUCAGGGUUGCUUGCUUCCAUUAGACACGUGAAAGUCUAUGAAAAGACGAUUGUUGAAAUGAAGUGUUACCAUGAAACGAUACAUAAAACGUUUUACAUUUGACGCCGUUGGAGAUCUACGAUAAUGCUGCACCAGUUGUGCCAGAUCCUUUUGCAAAUAAUUCUAGAGAAAAUCAAGUAAGUGUAUCAGUUUUGUUUAAUAAUGCAGCAGAUUAACUUGAAGUUCAUUAUUUUGUAUGCCAAGUAAGUAGAAGUUGUCUUGGAAUUCUUAAUAAAAUAUAAAAUAUUCUAGUUUCAGGAGAGAUGGCUUCCUUUAGCCAGAUGAGAGUAUGUCUUUUUUUACCAAGAAACGAUACAUAAAACGGUUUUUCAUUUGACACUGCUGCUUAUAGAAUAUUUGAUAUGUUUGAAAUCGAGGCGAAUAACUACGAAGCUAGAGAUCUACGAUAAAGCUGAAGUUGCACCAGUUCCUUUGCAGAUAAUCUCAAGGAAUGUUAAGUAGGUUCAAGUGUUUCAAUUUUGUUCAAUAAAACACCAGAUCAACUUGAAGUUCAUCAUUGUGUGUGUCAAGUAAGUAUAAGUUGUCUUGAAAUUACUAAUAAAAUAUUCUAGUUUCAGCAGCCUGAGCCUAUAAAAGGACGAUUGUUGAGAUGAAGUGUUAUCCAGAAACGAUACAUAAAACUAUAUGCAUUUGACACCGCUGUUAAUAGAAAAUUUGAAAUGAUCGAGAUCGCAGCCAAUAACUACCAAACUUGAGAUCUACGACAAAGCUGAAGUUGCAUCGGAUCCUUUGCAGAUAAUCCCAGAGAAAGUCGAGGUAGCUCGCUUUCUUUAAACAGAUGAAAGUCUAUGAAAAGACGAUUGUUGAGAUGAAACAGUUUGCAUUUGACACCGCUGUUAAUAGAAAAUUUUAUGUGUUCGAGAUCGAAGCGAAUAACUACUAAACUGAAGAUCUGCGAUAAAGCUGAAGUUCCACCAGAUCCUUUGCAGAUAAUCCCAGGGAAAGUCAAUUUCAGGAUAGCUUGCUCCCUUCAGACAGGUGAAAGUCUAUGAAAAGACGAUUGUUGAGAUGACGUGUUACCAAGAAACGAUACAUGAACCGAUUUGCAUUUGACACCGCUGUUAAUAGAAAAUUUGAUAUUCGAGUUCAAGGCGAAUAACUACCAAACUGGAGAUCCUCGAUGAAGCUGAAAUUGCACUAGACCCUUUGCAGAUAAUCCAAGAGAAAGUCAAGUAAGUUGGAGUGUUUUAAUUGUGUGUAAUAAUGCACCAUAUCAACUAGAAAUUCAUCGUUUUGUGUGUCAAGUAAGUAAAUGUUGUCUUGGGAUUACUUAUAAAAUAUUCUAGUUUCAGGAUAUUGCAUUGGAAACCACUGUUAACAGCAAAUUUGAAAUGUUUGUGAUCGAGGCGAAUAACUUUCAAUUUUGUUGAAUAAUGCACCAGAUCAACUAGAAGUUCAUCAUUGUGUGUGUCAAGUAAAAACAGGUUAUCUUGGAAUUCCUAAUAAAAAUUCUAGUUUCAGGGUAUCUUGCUCCCUUUGACAAGUGAAAGUCUAUGAAAAGUUGAUUGUCGAGAUGAAGUGUUAUUAAGAAACGAUACAUAAAACGAUUUGCAUUUGACACCGCUGUUAAUAGAAAAUUUGAUAUGUUCGAGAUCGAGGCGAAUAACUAGCAAACUGGAGAUCUACGAUAAAGCUAAAGUUCCACCAGAUCCUUUGCAGAUAAUCUCAGGGAAAGUCAAGAAAGUGUUCAAUUUUGUUCAAAAAUGACCAGAUCAACUUGAGGCUCAUCACUGUGUAUGUCAAGUAAGUAGAAGUUGUCUUGGAAAUCCUAAUAAAAUAUUUUAGUUUCAGGAUAGCUUGCUCCCUUCAGACAGGUGAAAGUCUAUGAAAAGACGAUUGUUGAGAUGAAGUGUUACCAAGAAACGAUAUAUAAAAAACAAUGUGUAUUUGACACCGCUGUUAAUAGAAAAUUUUAUAUGUUCGAGUUCGAGGCGAAUACCUACCAAACCAGAGAUGUAUGAUAAAGCUGAUGUUGCACCUGAUCCUUUGGAGAUAAUCCCAGAGAAAAUAACUUUAAGUCAAUUUUUCGUUGACUUAUGCUGCCUAUGCCGUGGGCAUGUUAACGAGAAAACGGAACACAGUUAAAUCCUUGGGAAAGGCACACUGAAUGUGUCCGAAACGCCGGAUGAAAACAUAAAACCCGUUUUUGAUCAUAAUAGACUGAAAGCCAUAACCUAGAACACAAUCAUCACAGUCGUAUCCCCGAGAAAGUAGCGGUCAAGUGUAACCAAGAAACGAUACGUUAUGCAACUGAAUGACAACAAAUCUGGAGAUCGACAAUGAAGUUUAAAUUACAUCUAACUGUACGCAAUUCAUCAAAGAGCAAAUCAAGUAAGUGGAAGUUUUAACUGAUUAAAUCCAGAUGGUGUGCAUGUAAACGAGAAAACGGAACACAGUUAAAUCCUUGAGAAAAGCACAAUUAAUGUGUCCAAAACGUCGGAUGAAAACAUAAAAUUCGUUUUUGAACAUAAUAGACUGAAAGCCAUAACCUAGAACAUGAUCAUCACAGUCGUAUCGACAAUGAAGCUUCAAUUACAUCCAACUAUACGCAAUUCACCAAGAGCAAAUCAAGUAUGUAGGAGUUUUAAAUAAUAGAAUUCAGAUGGUUUCCUUCAGGCCGAUGAAUGUCAGAAGAGACGAUUGUUUAGUUCAAAAAACGAUGCAUUAAGCAAUUCGCAUUUGACACUGCUGUAAAUGGAAAAUUUAAUAUGUUCUUGACGAACAACAACAAUUCUGAAGAGCUACGAUAAAUUUUAAGAUUCACACAAACCGUGAGCAAGUCACCAAAAAGCAAGUCAAGAAGGUAAAAGUACCGAAUUCCAUAAUAAAGUAAAACAAAUAUUUUUUGUAAUUUUUAGUUUUUGCAUUUAUUAAUAAGAAUCAAUGUUUCUGAAGUCGACCUUCCAUACAAUUUCUAAUAGACUUAUUGAGUUAGUUCAACUCAAUCUAGAAUUCUAUAUCGCUCCAAAAGCAUACAAUAUACAGCUAGUGUGAAAGUGUCGCCUUGUCAGAAAAAUAUGCAAAUAGCUUUCCGCUUAGCUGAGGUUUGUACUUCUAUGCUUGCUUACAAAUAAUCAAAACCAACACAGAGUGGCAGAUAACAUCGCGCUGAUAGAGGCGUAAACAAAGUGUAGCUGCUAAACCUAUAGAAGAGCUUAGAGCUGUUCGCUUCCCAUGUCCCAUUCGGAGCCGCUUUAUGCACCGGAAUGGACAUCAGCAGUGAAUCACUUCGUGAUUUUUUCGAUGCUCCCGCUCUACAAUUUCAUUGCCGGCUGCGAUAAUAACGCUGCUGGACGCGCGCACUGCCCCUUAUCGCCAUCAGCUGUCGUCUAUGCGAUUUUCUGACGUGCGAAAUAUAAAUAUUCCUCCGGCAAUCGGUUGGUCGGGGUGCUGAUUUGACGGUGACGCCCCGGUUCAGCAGUACAACGUUACAAACUUGUUAAUGUUGUGUUUAUUCUUAGACAAAUUUUUCAUUUCAAUUUAAGGGGGCGUAAGGCAAUCGUUUCUGAACACGAUAAGUUUCCGGUCAUAUAGUGACCAUAUCAAUCGAACGUAGAAAGGAAAAACCCAUGCGACAGGAAAUCAGACUUUUGCUUUUUCUCUUUUGAGUGAUAAGUUUGUAGACAGCGAAUGAGCAAAAAGUCACGUAUCUAUGCAGUGUACAAGCAUAGGCAUGACAUUGGUAGCGUAGCCAUACAAUUUCGAAGGUCAGUUUUCUGUCCUUUGUAUUCUCGUUAUCACACUGCAUUCCAGCAGGGAACGACCUUUUUGGGGUUCAUGCUGUGCAGUUAUUCCGCAGAUUGGAAACGGAAAUUUGCGCCAUAUAUUCGGAAACCGGUCAAACUGGAUGAAUUACCCAACCUUGAACGAAUGAUUUAAUUAACAGUAAUAAGGAAGCUUCUUGCCGAGUGCGUUUCCGAUACACUUGAAUGCGCUUGCGACCGCCAUGGCAGUCAAACUGCUGGCUACUGUAUCCCAAGUCCCAUGCUGUGAGCAACUUGGAUUUGUGGUUUUCGACUACUCGCAUUAUGUUUCAAUUGGGUGUAACUGCAAUAAUGGAUUCUACAGAAUUGAUUUUUAGGUUUUAUUACAAAAUCAUUCAUAGCAGUUAAUAACUAAGCCGAGAAAUCUAUAAAAUGAAAUCGAUCCCUCAAUUUACGCCCCUAUGCUACUCUGAACGAGAGAUUUUAUUGCAUCGAAUGCUAUAUUGAGCAGUAAUGCGUCUUCUCUGCUGCUACCACAGCAAAAUUUCUCCCAUCAUAUAAAUAUUUAUCUUGGCUAGUCAGCCAGUUUCGAAGAAACACUCCGAUUAAAUUUUGGCGGCUGCCCAAUGUCGGGAAACCCCAAAGAGUCGCCGGCAAAAUCGUCGAGUGUUGAUGUUUUGCUGUAUAAAUAUGAGGCGUAUAACUAUGUGCACUAGCUUUGGAGGUCAGUGGCGUGGUUAUAUGGCAUAGAGAGAAAACGGUGGAAAACGGAAAAUCCUCCUUGAUGGGCUAUAGCAAGCAGUAUGUAGCUUGUUCGGCUAAAUGGAUUUCAUUUAGUAAAGAUUGAAAACUAUUAGAGGCGAUAUUUCUCAAUUUUCAUACUGAAUGAUCAGAACUGUUAAUCUUGUAAUUCGAGUUCUCUACCAUUCAAGUAACUGACGGUUACAAGUACAAAUGUGUUUUCUUUUCUCGUUGCUUGCAGAGCAAUGAAAAGAACAAAGAGCGCAGUUAAAUACUCGCCGUUACUGAGCUGACAUUUCCUUAUUUAAAUCCGCCGUGUACUAAACGCCAUGUAUCAGAACAACAAAUUGAAUCUGGAUGGCUAUGCGGUCGCAGUGACGACGACGAUGGUGGCUAUUGACCGGCACCAUGUUGGCUAAAUCGAAAGCAGUUGGAACACGUGCAGCUAGCACUCCAAUUUGCUAUAGCAGUUCCAUUUUUGUGACACUCGGUUUCCUCACUUGGAACAAAGGGCAUAAAAGUCAUGACGCGAAUAACGACCAUAAAUGAUUAUGUUUAUACCGCCCAUAGAUUCUGAUGGAACACGUUGGUGCACGUUCUGAACGUGCGGUGCGUGUGGCAUGCGUCGCUCCUACAGGUACCGAGUGGCUCCAUGUCCCAUUGCGAGCCUGCAGACACCGGCGGCGGCGUGGCGACAUGGCGUGUGCCAUAAAAUCAAACAAACAUACUAAAAAUUUCGCAAUUUCAUGACAUACUUUAGGGGGCGUCUGUCGCUAUCUCUAUCUCGUCGUUUGCUCGCACUUCGCUGCCACUUCGGUUUGCUCGCUUCGGUUGGUUGCUAGGCUAGGGUGCCGCCGCUUACUUAGGUAUGAAGUGCAGCUCUCUGCGGUGAUGCCUUUUUGUACUGCAUUAAGUGCAUGCCAGGCUGUUGCCAUAUGCUCCUCAAGUCCGAAUCGACCGUGAACCGCACCACCAAAAACGAUAAAGCGGCGUCGCCGUCGUCGUCAACCGUUGAGGAUACGAGUGCAAAUAAAUUCCUAAACGAAUGUGGCUAUCCGUCGCCGUUAUGGCACGCUUGUACAUACGGCAAAACGGGGGGUCCACUGGAAGGACAAAUGGGUUGCAACGAUUUUUUGCUGCGCUUCUCGAACAAUCUUUCAUCGAGGGACUACAGUAGUGACCUUCGCUUUGUGGAUAUCUGCUUUGAAUAACAGUUGUUCAAAACAACCGCCUCACGGUUGCUUUGUUCAAACGAGACACGCCCCAACACGGCUGGCUGGAUUUCAUACCAUUCGUCGAAAUGUAAUUUACUUGUUUUGCGUGACAAUCACGUAAAAUUAGCGCCUCUCGCUUCGAUGAAACGAUGGAGGUGAAAGCGGAACGCACGCUCUCUCCUCCCACUUUGUGUGAAGCCAUAAAGCGAUUCGUCCUUAUUUGUCAGCAGCGAACGUCGCUAUCUGGUCGCCCUAUCAGUGAAACUUUCAAGCUCACAAUAAACAAAGAACGCUCACAUGGUAUGGAUAAACAGUGAUUUCUUUAUUCAUAUACUGGUGCACAGCGUAGACGUCGGCCUAUACAUAGACCUGCUAUCGCUUGCAAAACAAAGUAGCCCAUCGAUGUGCGCGCUGUGCGCAGACAACGGAAUUCUUCCUACCGUAGAGCAACGCAAGUCAAGGAAAGGAACCGUAUCCGGUUGUUUGUUUCGUCUUCCACCCGUCUGCUUAAUAAGGCGAUAAAAGCCUGAGUUCACACUGCGCACAUAUGGUGUCUCCGUCAAUCCAUCUCCGUGUCAUUGUAAUUGACACAGAAUCGGAACCUAAAUUUACAUAGGCGCUUUUGAACACACUCUAAUGUGACAGUGGUAGCGGCAGCCACAAUAACAACAAAAACACGUUUUUGCGACGUCAUUUGCAAGCCGUCGUCGUAGUCUUGGUUGUUGGCUUCCUCCACGUAGAGGUUUUUUAGCGUUAUAACGCUGUGAAGCUGGAGCCAAAUGGCUUAAGAGCUUAAUGAAUGCCAUUUCUUGACGCAGCCAAAGUUGGAGGACAGCCGGAAUUGUUGUUUUCUUUGCUCCCACACAUCGUACGUUUUGUGCGGUCGUUCGACCAAACGGGCAGUAGGUGAACAGGGCAAUCGUGGUGAAAUCUUGCAUCAUUCAUUUUGGAGAUUUUUGCAAGGUUUGCUUUGAUAAAGGCUAACCUUAUUUCUAUAACAUUGAUCAAAUAAUUUCAAUUAAAUAUCUUAGAUAUUCUGCAAGCAUCAAUAUUGACCAGAAAAUUAAUUGGACGUAAUCUAAUCUAGUUAUUUUCCACGAUGCUUUCUUGUACUGUCUACGUUUGUGUCAGAUUAGAUAAGAUUUUCAAAAGUCGAAACUUCCAAGAAGAUAUUGGAAACGUAUUUUUCGCACAAAAUCUUCCUUA
rnacentral:lncRNA from 1 species